CAGAGAAAAAUCUCAAAAUAAUGAUAAUAAUUUUUCAAAGUAUUUGCUUUUUCAAACCAAAAGUAGAGAGAGAGAAAAAUAUCAUGUACUCACAAAAACUCAAUGUGUCAAAUUCUAUGUCCCGAUUAUCCUUUGAAAAACCCUAAAACAAAGCUUUAAAAUAGUUAACUCCAAAUAAGGAAAUACAUUAAUAAAAAUCAGAAAUCCCCCAAAUUAGGUAAUAACAUUUGUGAUAGCCUAUCAGGAGACUGAUGACUUAUCAUAAAUGUCAUCAACUCCUUCUUCAAUUUUGGCUCUUCUUGCUGAAGACAGAUGACAAGCUUGACAAUUUAUCAGCUCCGUGAUGGCUUAUCACAAAAUGUCGUCAAGGCUUUGCUUCAGUUUUCCUUGGUUGCCUUAUGCUGAUGACAUUCCUGACAUCUUUUCAGAAGCUUGACAACGUAUCACAAAAUGUUGUCACAACUUCUAUUUUAGACGAAUUCUCUAUCUACUGCUGACGACCAACUUGGUAGCUUAUCAUAGGGCUAUCGACUUAUCACAAAUGUCACCAGCCAUACUUGUCUUAAGAUUUCUUCAAAUUUCAAUUCUUUGCUUGCAUUCUUGUUGGUUCUCUAUCAUAUCAGCUUAAACUGCAAAAAUCAAACAUAAACCAACCAAAAACGACAAAAGUUGUUUAAAACUUUGCAAUUAUUCUUAGUUAAAAUCCUCAAUUGUGUUAGCAUUCGCUCAUACAUCACUUUCCAACGUAUAUGUACCCGAAUCUUAUGGUGUAUAUUUAGAAAUAAAUGUGACCUAUAUUUUCCUUAGUGUGGAAACUUCCUUGGAGAUGAAUAUUCACCAUAGGAAUCUCCUAACUCAAAAGUUAAAUUGAGCACCUUCGUAUUGAUUGAAUUUUAGUUGAUGAUUUUGCAUGGGUCAACUUCCAUCAACUGUUUCUAUUAGUAUAUAAGGAUUAACGUGGCUUAAAAUAUUUCAAAUUAAAUCCUUUGGAGUAUUCUUUCCAACACCUUUGCCUAUUUAUUUUAUGAGUCAGAGUUAAAAGUAAUGAGUGUUUGAAUUAGACACUAUCCAGGCUAGGCGAUGGUCUACACAUCGCCCAUCUUAGGUUUUGUCCAUGGGCUUAGAGCUGCAAACCUUGGGUUUGGCCAUGGGUUAGGCACCGACUACCCUUUAUUUUUGCGGUGCAAGGACUUCAUUUUUGAGUUAUUUCGAUGUCAACAAGGACUUUUAACAUUACAUAAUAAUCCAUAAAUAUAUUAACAUGAAUUUAAGUCUCCCAAAAUGAUUUAACACUAUCAAAUCCCUAAAUCAUCUUCUAAAACACUAGAGGAGAAAAACCAACCUAGGGUUUGCACAUUCAAUCCUAAAUAGUCAAUAUUUUCACGAUUUCUUCAUCAACUAAGGUACGUGGGCCUUUCCUUAAAUUCAUGGGCAUAUUGAAAUCAUUUUUAGUAUGCUUUAAAGUUAAGAAAUCAUGAAUUUAUGAAAGGUUUUUGAUCUAUAAGGAAAAGUAUGCAUUGUGAACCCUUUUGGAUAAUAUACGUUUUACCCUUGAGGCCUCUUAAUAGAAUUGAAUCAUGUUUUCAUAUGUAUAAGUGUUUUCAAUUUUGUAAAGUUAAUAGAGAGAAUACGUAACAAAUUUGUCCCUCUCUUGUUAUGAUACUUCUUGACUUUACAUGCUGUGGGUUGUGAAAUUACAUGAUUGAAAGCAUAAGAUAAGAGUUUUAAUGUUGUUUAUGAACUUGAUGUUAGUUGAAUUGAAGAGAGCUUUCUUUCCUAGAUUUUAACUAUUUUAUUUUUUUAAAUGUUCAAUGUAAUAAUUAAAAGAAUUGCUUGAAUUGUUUUGAGAAAUUGACCAUCAUGUGUUGAAAUAAUGAAAAGGGAGAAUCUUUGCAUAAUUUUGAAAUGUGUUGAAAUAAGACCUCUCUUGCUUGUUUAAAUGUUUUUGGUGGUCAAAUGAUUUGAUCGGAUUGAAAAAUCUAAAGCAUAACAUGAUAUUGCUUAGAUAUAUGACUUGCAAGUAUUGGUGUGACGAUACUAAAUCAGAUGAAUGUCAUGGUAGAUACAUCAUAGAAUAAACUAAAAACUUUUCAGAUUUUUAGAUUUUUAGAGUUCAUAAAGAUACAUGGUUUUAAUGAACUAAAAAUGGACUCUAAUAGAGUUAGAUGGCUACCCGAAGAAAGUAUGAGUUUAAAGACUCUAUGCUAGAAAUCGUGAUUUGCCGACACAAGAUUUUGGUACCUUGCUUUGUUAACUUGUAUACCUUAUAAUAUGUCAUCCCAAAGUGGGACUAUGGUUUUGAGCCCUGCUUUGUGAUCUCUGCCCUACCAUGACAUAUUGAUUUGAUUGGGGAUUAUUGUACCCUACUGUGUGAUCUUUCGUGUCUCCCGUUACUGAUACUCCAAUCCUUGCAUCAAACUAGGAUUAGGGGCUUCACCAUCGAGUCAAGGUCGGAUUCCAUAUAGCCUAUAGAAUUACAGAUUGUAGGGUGUAGCUCAGAAGAGAAACAAAGAGUAGAGUCAUGAUUCCAAGUACUGUUUUGAAUUUUAUCAAAUUAUGUCCAUGCAUUUUCAAAUUUUUAUGCUGAUAUGUUUUUAUGAAGAGCUCUUACCUAUGUUUUACAAAAAUGUAUUUUUCUUUUGGAUUGUUCUGAGUACCAGAACAUUUGUAUUGACCCCCUAUAUUUCAGAAUUUGAGAUAGUCCCUAGGUCCCGCUAAGCAGUAGACCAGUUUAUCAAUCAUUUGAAGUUGGUGAGACUACCUUGUUUUCGAAGGGUCUUGGUCCAUGUUAUAUUUUCAUUUGGUCUUAGAUUAUGGUCCAGCGGGGGCCUUGAACAAUGUUUCAGACAGAUGUUGUUUUUAUAUUGUUAGAGAUUUCACAGGCUGGUGUCAUGUGUUUUCUUAUUUUCUUAUUGUUCAGUUGAAGUAAGAGAAUGACCAUGUUUUUGUAUUGCUAUGUUUUUUCAUUUUUUCGUAUUUCCUUAUAGUAUCUGAAUAGCGUAUAUGAUUUCCAGUUAGAGAAGGGCUCCUGUGCCACCAUGGUUCGGGAUGCUCAUUGCGUCCAGGGCCUCAGCUCGGGUCAUGACAAAGAACAUACCCCACCAUGGCUAAAGUAAAUGACAAGCCCCACAAGGGCUAAAGUAAAUAACAAGUAAGUAAAUAGCAAGCCCCGCGAGGGUUAAAGCAAGUGACAAGCCCCAAGAGGGCUAAAGUAAAGUUCAAGCCCCAUGUUGCCCAAAGUAAAGUAUCAGUAAGGAGGAGCAUACCUUUACAUCUUAUCAUUCAUCAUCAAGGACAACUUAUCCAUAAAUAUAUGAAUAUAUAUAGCAUGAAUAUUACAAAGCAUAAACUGGUUCAACAUGGUUAGUAGCAUAGCUUCUCAUGUAGUUAAUAAAUAAAUCUUUUAGAUCCCUUAGUAUCAUGGCUCAUAAUAUUAGCAAUAAGAAAGCUUUCUAAUAUAAUCAAUCGUUAGGUUACUACACAAAGAAUAACAUGAUUCCAACAUAAUCUAUAAAGUAUCUUUAUUCAUAGUGAAUAAGCAUGGCUUCUAACACCAUUAUCAUCAUCAUUUCCAAUAUAGACAACAAAGAAGAUUUUCAAUAUGAUUUACUAGAAUAAUUAUUAAGCAUAAUCAUAGUUGGGCAAUAGUAUAGAUAACGGCCCUGACUCUAGCCUAAAUGAUGGCUUAAUCAAGAGUAUAGACAAGGAAUCAUCAUUACAUAAUCCAUAAUUUAGUUAUUCCACCUUGGCAUAACCAUAAGCCAUAUCAUGAACUUGGCCCAUUAGUAGCAUAUUCAUUGGCCUACUAUUGGCCUAAAUAUAUUUCGUCAUUAGAAGGAACAAUGGAUAAAGCAUUACAUAAUCCAUAAUUUAUUCAUAGCUUGGUCAAUAAUAUCAUUUAUGACUUAGGCCAUAUUAUAGACAAGGGCUCAUGUAAUAGCAUGUUCAUUAGCCCAACCAAUAGAUAAUUGUAAUAACCUAAUUAAUAGCUUGACAUAAGUUUUAGCCAACAAGGAAUACAAAGGCAUAAUUACUUGGGAAUUCUCAAUUCUAUUCUACAUAACCAACAAGUACCAAGAAUCAUCAAUAUUCCCUCAAAAGGGCACUCUUUAGUCAACAGGUGUAAGUGUUCAAGGGAACUAAUCACAAGUCUUGUCAUAAGGUGGAUCAAUAAGCCCACAAGUAAAUCCCUAAAUCCAUUAUAAGUCAAUUUCUACCCCUAACUAGGCUAAGGAAUAUAAAUCAACUCUUAAAUAUAUAGCAAGCCGCCAUAAGACCUAAGGUAGAUAUUCUACUAAGUCCAAUGGAAUCAAGGCAACCUUCUCUAGUAUAAGUAACUAAGGAAAAUUUUCUCUACAUAUGAUUAAUUUGAACAUUAUAUCUAAGGUUGAGUAUUUUAAGGCUUACUCAUGGAAAACAUGAGUUAUGAAGUCUAUUCCACCAAAUAUAAUUGAAGCCAAGUCAAGUUUUCCAGCUUGCAAGAUUCAUAUAGCUUAAUUGUCCAACUAACCCAAGUUUUACAUUUUAUCAAUUCAAUAUUUAAAAGCCAUCUCAAUCUAACAGGAAAUUAAAAUUAUAUCAUAACAUAGCUCAAUCCAACAAGGAGUAAGGCUAACCUACCUCAAAUCCAAAGAAAGCCCACGAACCGCUAAACCUUUUCUUUUCCUUUUUCCUUUUCGAGAAGCUUCUUCAUGGUUCCAAGCUAUCAAAAAUACAAUCUACACAUCAUUAUGAGAAUUUUGAUACCAGUAUAGCACCAUUGUGAUUCAGGUUUAAAAAUGAUACCAAAACCCCCCAAGUUGGUCCCACAUAAGUAAAACACAUUUUUGAGAUCAGACCAAUGUUCAUACACCAAUAGGGAAUCAUAACCAUCAAGAAUUAGAUGAAAACAAGGCAUAUUUGGGGAAAAAAUCAAGCCCUCAAGCAAUUUUGCAUUUUGGUCAAAAUUCAAGAAAUUAAAGCUUGAAAAAGGUAGGAUUCAUACCUUUAAUCUUUUAUUAAUCACAAAAUAUAUGUAAAUCAAGCUUUUAACUCACACCCAAGAAUCAAUUUAAAGUUAAUCUAUCAUUAUAGGGCUUAUAGGGCUCAAAAGGGAGUGAAAAUUGUCAAUAUCAUGACCAAGUAUGCUAUUCAUAGUACCUUGGUCGCGGUUAAAUAGGGUCGGCGAGGUCAAAACUUGUUUUUAGCCUCCCAGACUCGUUUAGACUCCUUUUUUUUGCAAAAGAACUAUGUAACACUACUAAAUUCAACAUUUUAGAUGCCUUGGUGAACUCAUAUUUUCUAUCCAAGACCAUUUAGGCCAAUUGUGGGCCCUACACCAAUGUCUACCGAUUUUUUCACUUUUCGACAAAUUGGUUGAAAUGAACUUGGGUGUCUUCGAACUCGAACCAAGGGUUUUUAUAUCCUACAAUCGAUAUUACAAAGCUCCUAAUCCAGUAAAAAUUUGCAUCAGAGGUUGUUUAUCUAAAGGUUUUUCUUGGCGGCCAUUUGGAACAAGCGAAGACUUCUAAACGGGGAAUCGGUCCUAAAGUUGAACGAACGAUACCAAACUAUCAGUUCCAGGAAGUCAUAAAUGACUUGAUACAGCCAUGAAAAAUAUUUAGAGGAAAAAUUAAGCAGACAAUAUGGAAAAUGACCUGAAGAGUCAUUACACCGUUGCAUUGAGUUGUUGCUACUAAUUAAUUACAAAUUCAAAGAACCAAAAGAAAAGAAAAAAGGUUAAAAACGCAGAAUAUAAAAAAAAUAUUAUUAAAUAGUAAAAUGAACAAAAUCCACGUAAAAAAAUAACAUUCAUAGUACCUGGAAAAAAGAGUAACCUGUCACGAGCCGAACAAGGGCCUAGCAGUGACGGACAUCGCGAAGGUUCGGACGUCCUACUCUAUCUGGUACUCAUGCAAAAUAUUCAUAUAAUAAAAGAAAAUAUGGAAUUACAAUCUAAUACGGAAACAUGGUCAUACUAUGGAUUAAGUUUAACAAUAAGGAAUGAAAUCCAAAAAUCACUAACAACAUCUGGAAAAGUUUGCGAAAUCUCUACUACAUGAAAAUCUGACAAAUAUCUUAGGAAAUGCAACUUUUUACUUUCCAGCUUAGCACACUUUUCGGAUACUCACUUAACUAUACUAUUCCCCUAAAUACGACGAUCAAGCUAUUCAACUUAAAAUUCUCAUAUGGGCAUUGAUAAAUCUUUCUACUAAUGUCUAAAGUGACUUAAAUCCUCUCACCGCGAUGAAGCCUAACUCCAAACCACAAAAUACAACAUGCCGCACAGUGAUACUAGUCUAAACCACAUGAUUAAGUCUUCUAUAUCUUUUUAGAUAUCACACCCUAAACAUAAUGUGCCUUACCACUUCAAUGAUAACUAACUCUGAACACUUACCAUGGAUUUAUGAGCACAUAUUACGUUCCUCCACUUAAAUCCUAAUAUUUUAUUCAAGCCUAUCUUUAUAACCACCUAUGAACUUCAAGACAAACACCCGUAAAUACAUACUUCAUAUAGUCUCUAAACCAUUGUCAAUAUAACUCCAACGCGCUAUCCCAACAAUAUACACACAAAAAUUUCCACUAGCCAUCACAUGUAUCAAACACUUGGCCCCAAAUCUUACUCCAUAAUUGCUACCUUAACUCAAAUAAGCAUACAACCAUCUUUUAUCAACAAGAAAUGUUUACUCUUUUCCAUCUUGACAACUAUUCAUCAUCACUAUAUCGAUAUACGGGAAAAAUGUCACUAAAAAAUUAGAAUAUCGAAAUUCAGAACAUGAGGAGAGUACUAGUCAUAACUUGAUACCCUACUGAGGUGUAAGGAAUAGAGCACUCACGACAUGGACUCAUUAAAGAGAUCUAAUCUGAAGGUGUUCCUGAUAUAAAUCUUAAUUUUCACUGAUCGUUAAGUGUAUCACAUGUGUACAAGAGUUAGGAACUGUAUGACCUGAAUUUUUUUGGAAUUCAUAACUUACGAAAAGUGAUUCUGACUGUUGAAUGAACUAGAAUUCCUCAUUUAGGAACUGGAAGAGCACAUGUUUUUCUAUCAUAUGCAUGAACAUGAACCAUGAUCAUGGAACUGAAACAAAAGGCAUGGGUAGGUAUUAGGAUACCUGAAAAAUAUUGAGAUGAGAAUGGGUUGAGCCUUACCCUCAUUUUAUGGUGUUCCAUAUCAUACAGGAAUCACUACUAGAAUCUGAGAGUCUGGCUUGGUUACAUGUUCUAUCAUCUCCCCCUUAGCUUUAAGCCAUCAUCUUAAGUUUGAGAGAUCCCUUACUAGACUCUAAACUGAACUACACUUACUGCACUCUGUGGUCUAGAAUAUGACAAUACACGUAAUUAAUAGAACUUAAUCCGAAUGACUACAAUUGGAAGUGGAAAAGCCAAUACUAAUACCAACUUCUGAGACGCACUCUAUCAUUCUAUAGCCCCAAUAGCCAUCCCAUCAUAUUGGAACACUUACUUACUUCGGAUUUUCAUAAGUAUCCCCAUAGUCAGAGUGCACACCCUCUAACGUUUCAACCCUUAUCUCUAUGAGCUCAACCUUCAAGAAUUCAAUCUUAGCUUCUAACACUUAACAUGGAUAUCACCAAGCCUUUGAUGAAAUAUACUACUUCCGUCAUAGCACACCAAUAUCGUGACUCUAAACUUAUAUCUCCCUACCACGAGAAUCAAGAUCAUAUCAAAAGGCGCAACAUUAUCAAUCAAAAUUCAUCAACUUGGCUAUUUAGAACACCAUAUACUAUCUAACUAGUCUUUCUUCACCUAGUAACUCAACAGUACCACAAGCCACACAUAACAUGUAAUAGUCGAAGAAAAAUACAGCAACCUCAUAUCACCUUGAAUAAUAACUCCUUCUCUAUGUUCUACUAAACUAACACACAAGGACGUAUCACUUCAUUACCAACUCAAUCUCAUGCGAAAAGAUUCAGCUAUGCAUAUAUUCAACCAACACAAAAAUAAUAAGUUGAACAACAAGUUGUUAGUGAAUCGAAAUAGUCCUCACAUAGCUUUACUACACUUUGAUUUUGUGUUUUGAACUAGAAAAUGUGAUGAAUGACAAGGAAACUAUGCUAGUGAAUCGAAAGAGCCCCACACGGCUUCACUAGGCUUUCGGUUUCAACAACACAAUGAUAACAAGAUUACAAGAGAUAGAAAGUUGACAUAUAAUAUUCAAUGAUUUAAGAAUACACAUCUUACCCUGUAUAAAUAAAAAUCUGAGUCAAACACUUCCCCCCACAAACUACCAUACAAUCCACACAUGCUACUAGCUACCACAUUAGUCUAUCACUAAAAAAGGAUAAAUCAUUCUCAAACAUCAGUUAUUCAACUAAAUUAUUUAUUCGCACAAAAGUCACCCUCACUCAGACUUCUAACUUUGUGACUUCAUCUCACCAGCUUCUUGGUCUAAUCUCACUAUCAAUAGAUCAUGACACCGCUUAUACUACUACUUGGGUGGAAAUACAGUUCCAACAUUCUGCUACACCUCAUUCCCUCUUAAGCAUGACAUCUGUAACAUAAAUUUUUGAAAAGGACUUAAUACCCGUAAUACUGCAAGCUGAAAAACACGAUUUCAUCAGAACCAAAAUUCACACUAGAAUUAAUCCACUUUGAAGAACUAACGAACUCUUCUCAAGUCCUUGCACAAUUUUUAAAAUCUUAUCUGACAUCAAUCAAAAUGGACCAUACCAUUUAAAUUCUAAACUUUGUCACUUGAUUCACCGUAAUAAUGAGACAUAUCGGAGCCCAUCAAAGUAAGAAAAGAAUUAGGAUAACUUUACUUUCGUAUGGAAAGCAACAUAGCACGAAUUAGAGUAUAAAAGAGGAAUAUUCUGACUCCACAGCAUGAACUAAAACAUGAAGAAAGGGAAACAUUCCAAAAUGCCUAAUAGCCUCCUGCUUAUAAGUGUGGCGCACUACAUACUUAUAAUCAAGACUCUACCUGAUGCUAUUUCACAGACACCCUGGGACCUUGAACCAUGCUUUGAUACCAAGUUUGUCAUGAUUUGAACUAGGGACUGGCCGUGAUGGACAUCCCGAACCAUGAAGGCUCGGACGUCCUACUCUAUCUGGUCGUUAUGCAUAAUAUUCAUAUAAUAAGAAAAAUAUGGAAUUAUGAUCUAAUACGAAAACAUGGUCAUACUCUAGAUUAAGUUUAACAAUAAGGAAUGAAAUCUAAAAAUCGCUAACAACAUCUAGAAAAGUCUAUGAAAUCUCUACUACGUAAAAAUAUGAUAGCUGUCUAAAAAUGGGGAUAAGGUCCCCAGUAGACAAAAACUAUAAUAGACGACAUAAUCAGAAAGGACAGGCCUUUUGGAAUUGAGAAGGCUCACCACUAGACAAUCAUUGUUGUCUGAAAACUCUAUGACCUAGCAGGACCUCUAAACUGAGUUUUAGACCUUCAAAGUAGGGGAGGUCAAUACAAAUGUACUGGUAUAUAGAGAAAAUCCAAAAUAAUUAUUUACAUUCAAUAUAUGUGAGAGAAAUUUAAAGCAUUUCAUAAACAUAUCAUAUAGUAAGAAAUCACAUGGGCAUUUUAAAAGACUUUGUGAAAAAUUUUAAAAUCUGUGACACUAUUUGUCUUACUUCUGCGCAAGGUGGUCUACCCUACAGUCUAUAAUCCCAUGAGCUAUAUAGGAUCUGCCAUUAACUCGGCAGCCAAGCCCCCAAACCAAGUGUACCACAAGGGUCAGAGUCUUUGAAUGUACUAAGCCACGCAGCCGUUGCCAACGUACAAUAAUAAUCUACCCGUAUCGGCAAAUACAGUUUCAGUCUAAGAGUUACUUGAACUCAUGCCUUCUUCGGGUAACCACUUAACCCUCUUUAUGCCCAUUUUUAGUUCUUUAAACAUACAUGCUCUGAAAACAUACUCAGAAAUCUUUAACUCAGUCGUGGCAUAUAUACAUAUAUGGUAUCGUUAUACCAUUGACUAACAAGUCACAUAUCUGAGCCACUAAUAGAAUAUUAUAUUCUCUAUUUUCAAAAUAUAUGUUUAAGACCACCAUAUCAAUAAAUCAUUUCAAGAACUCUUUCUUUAAAUACUCAAGUGCACACAUGUAUGCAAAUCUCUUUGUCAAUAUUUCAAUGAUACAAGGUGGUCAUGUCAAAAUCCUUAAUCUCCUGCAAAUCUUUCUCUUUUAAACAAAACAUAUUUAUAUCAGUAAACUCCAUCUCAUCAAUCUCCAAAUCAUGCUCAAAAUACUAUGGUAUUGAGUAAAAUAUUUUCAAGAAAAAAAUCAUGCAUUUCAAAUCAUUCUCAUCCAUUUCAUAAACUCUAAACCACCAAAGAGAGGGAUUUCAAUGAUAAUGCUCUCAAUAAAAUUUUCAAUAUCAUACAUAUAUAUAUAGAUGUAAAUCUAUUUAGGGGGAAAGGCCUAAAGACCAAAUAACAAUACAAUUAAACAUUCAUCAAGCAUAAUAAAGUCAUGUAUUCCAAAAACCUUUUCUAAAUUCAUUCUUGAUAGAUCUUUAAAUCAUACUUGAGUAUUUCAACAAGACCAAGUAGUUUUAGGAGAAACCCUACGUACCUUAAAUUAUAAGAUCUAAAAGAUGGAACCUAGAUCUUAAUACAUGAAACACGGAUCUUAAUUUGUUUCUUGGAGAUAUUGAACUUAAGGCUUGAUUUUCUUGAAUUUCUUGUUCUUGGAGAAAACGCUAAUUGAUCUUAUUUUGAGAGUGAAGAGGAAGUUUUUG
rnacentral:lncRNA from 1 species